rnacentral:rRNA from 1 species
CGUAGGGGGCAAGCGUUAUCCGGAUUUACUGGGUGUAAAGGGAGCGUAGACGGCUAAUCAAGUCAGAAGUGAAAACCCAGGGCUCAACCUUGGGACUGCUUUUGAAACUGAGUAGCUAGAGUGCAGGAGAGGUAAGCGGAAUUCCUAGUGUAGCGGUGAAAUGCGUAGAUAUUAGGAGGAACACCAGUGGCGAAGGCGGCUUACUGGACUGUAACUGACGUUGAGGCUCGAAAGCGUGGGGAGCAA